rnacentral:rRNA from 1 species
AUUGAACGCUGGCGGCAGGCUUAACACAUGCAAGUCGAACGAUGACUCUCUAGCUUGCUAGAGAAGAUUAGUGGCGGACGGGUGAGUAACAUUUAGGAAUCUGCCUAGUAGUGGGGGAUAGCUCGGGGAAACUCGAAUUAAUACCGCAUACGACCUACGGGUGAAAGGGGGCGCAAGCUCUUGCUAUUAGAUGAGCCUAAAUCAGAUUAGCUAGUUGGUGGGGUAAAGGCCCACAAAGGCGACGAUCUGUAACUGGUCUGAGAGGAAGAUCAGCCACACCGGAACUGAGACACGGUCCGGACUCCUACGGGAGGCAGCAGUGGGGAAUAUUGGACAAUGGGGGCAGCCCUGAUCCAGCCAUGCCGCGUGUAGGAAGAAGGCCUUUUGGUUGUAAAGCACUUUAAGCAGGGAGGAAAGGCUAAUGGUUAAUACCCAUUAGAUUAGACGUUACCUGCAGAAUAAGCACCGGCUAACUCUGUGCCAGCAGCCGCCGUAA